AUUCCUAACGUUCAACUCGCCGCACCGCGCUUUGGGUGCAUCCCAUUUGUGACCGCGCCGAGUGUCGUAGCGCAAGACCCUCCUUUCUCGCCGAGCUGAUCCCAUAAACUUCCCCCUCGCCAAUGGAUUUCGUGCUAGUUCCGCUCAGUCACCGGCCAAAAAAUGCCUCAACUGAGCACAACUUCUGGAGGUGCAGCCAACCCUCUCUGAUCUUUAAAUUAGCAUCUGCUGUUAUAAUUGGUACAACGUUGCUUGAUAUCUGGAAACUGGGUGCAUCGCCAAUCUCAUCCACCAAAACAAGCUGGACAACCUUAUUUUUACCAAUGCCUAAAUGAUCUAACCGAUGUUCUUCUUCCACCGCCUCCUACGUUGAUUGAUCUCCUCGGCUUUGUAGGUUUAUUAUGACGUAGGACUUCGCUACCAGUUUGCAGGUAGCAAAAACAAUAUUUCUGCGUUGAUUUGAUGGCAAUUUGCUACAAAUCUUUAACGUGGGCUGGUAGCUCCGGCCAAGAAGACACUCAUGCUUGUGCAAUACUGAUGCCUGUAUUAUUCUGUACGAUCUGCCGGACUGGCAGGAGGAACGAUUUAUUUUGAGACAAGAUGCAGAGAGCUCACCAUCCUUAUGGAGACAUUUGGGCUCGAGCUUUACAGACGUGCAGUUUUGUUGGAAAUUUUAUUAAAAAUCUAUGAAAACUAGUAAUAAUCUUUUGAUGAUUUGGCUUUUAAUUUUG